rnacentral:rRNA from 1 species
AUGUGUGAAAGGCAUCAAGCUUCCAUGCGAUGGAUGGCUUUUGCAAACCCGACAUGCGGUGAUGUGGUUCAUGCCAAUAGAAAAUAUGAUUGGCCGGUGUUGCCGGCUGGCGUCAAGUUCGAUCCCACGGAUAAGGAGCUGAUCGAGCACCUUGAGGCCAAAGUGUGUGCUGACAGCGCGAGAUCUCACCCUCUCAUCAAUUUGUUCAUACCAACCAACGACAGCGAGCACGGAAUAUGCUACACCCAUCCUGAGAAACUUCCAGGUAUCACACUGAGUGGCCUAAGCGAGCAUUUCUUCCAGCGCAACUCCAGGGCGUUCAAAAGGGGCACGUGGACGCGUCGCAAGAUACAGUCGGAGUGCGGAAUGCACGCGAUGUGGCACAAGACCGGCAAUACCUUGCCGAUGAUGGUCAACGGCCGACAGACGGGCAGCAAAAAGGUUCUGGUGCUGCACACCAACAAGAACUUCGACCCCCAGAGGACCAACUGGGUGAUGCACCAGUACCACAUCGGGGACCUGGAGCAAGAGAAGGAGCAGGAGCUAGUCCUCUGCAAGAUUUUCUACCAGACGAACACUAGGGCCAGGACUAAAAAGAUUACAAGUUACCUAACCGUACGGAACCAGCAGGUCCAUGGCUGUACGCAAGCAAGUGCAUGCACUUAUUAUCAUGAUGGAAAAAUAAUGCUGACAUCUGAGACGGUGAAACCCAUGAAGUCUUCAACGUACUCAAUAAACGAGAGAAUUCUGCAAGUACAGACUGAUAGCUGGGAUCCAGCAGGUAUAUUGUUUUUUCAGCCUUCCUCGGCUCCGGAUCAUUCCCUUACUUGGCCUGGCCGUCGUCCACCGCCUUGGUCCUCUCAGCACAGCGUGGUCAACGAACAACAUCCAUCGGAAGAGGACUGUACAUGGAGAGGCUGA